AACAAACGCUGGCGGCGUGCCUAAUACAUGCAAGUCGAACGAGGUAGCAAUACCUAGUGGCGCACGGGUGAGUAACGCGUGGAUAAUCUGCCUUAGAGUGGGGGAUAACUAGUCGAAAGAUUAGCUAAUACCGCAUAAGACCACAGGAGCUGCGGCUCUCGAGGUCAAAGGUUUUUCGCUCUAAGAUGAGUCCGCGUAAGAUUAGCUAGUUGGUGAGGUAAUGGCUCACCAAGGCGACGAUCUUUAACUGGUCUGAGAGGAUGAUCAGUCACACUGGAACUGAGACACGGUCCAGACUCCUACGGGAGGCAGCAGUAGGGAAUAUUGCACAAUGGAGGAAACUCUGAUGCAGCGACGCCGCGUGAGUGAUGAAGGCCUUCGGGUCGUAAAGCUCUGUCGCAGGGGAAUAACACAAUGAAUGUACCCUGUAAGAAAGGAUCGGCUAACUUCGUGCCAGCCGCCGCAGUAACAC
rnacentral:rRNA from 1 species